CCUACGGGAGGCAGCAGUGGGGAAUAUUGGGCAAUGGAGGCAACUCUGAUCCAGCAACGCCGCGUGAGUGAUGAAGGGUUUCGGAGUGUAAAGCUCUAUCGGAAGGGAAGAAGAAAGUGACGGUACCUUAAGAAUAAGCCGCGGCUAACUACGUGCCAGCAGCCGCGGUAAUACGUAGGAGGCAAGCGUUAUCCGGAAUUACUGGGCGUAAAGGGGGCGUAGGCGGUGAGACAAGUCUGUAGCGUAACUCCGGGGCUCAACGUCGGAACUGCUUCCAAAACUGUUGGGCUCGAGUGCAGGAGGGGCAAGUGGAAUUUCUAGUGUAGCGGUGAAAUGCGUAGAUAUUAGGAGGAACACCGGUGGCGAAGGCGAGUUGCUGGACUGUAACUGACGUUGAGGCCCGAAAGCGUGGGGAGCAAACAGGAUUAGAUACCCGGGUAGUC
rnacentral:rRNA from 1 species